UUGGAUGUUUUGGGCGAAUAACUUGGGUGAGUUUUAGAGAAUUGGCUCAGGUCUGUUUAGUCAAUUCAAACUGCGCAAUUCUUAACCAUAAAGGAAUUGCCACAUAACAAACUUAACAAGACGUUUAAUGGAAUAAGAAAGUUAUAGGAAAAUCAAAGAGAAUUUAUCAAAAAAAGGGAAUUUAAAGUUUAUUUAAACCCUAAGGCAUGAUCUUUUUAUAUCAAUCGCAUCGAUCAAUUCAUAUAUUAAAAAGAGAAAUGAUUAAUUAAUCACAAGGAGAACAUAUAAAAUUGAAAAACUAUUGAAGUGUUAGGGAAUUUCAUAAGAGAAGCUUAUACUUUGUCAACUUCUGUAACAACAUCACCAUGUCAAUUUCACUUUCAAUUGCAGAAAGCAUAUCGUGAAACGUAGUCUUCACUUUGUUUAUCAAGGGGUCAAUGAGCAAGAAGGCGAGGGCCCUUUUAUAUAUGUAUAAAGGAUAAAAUAUUAUUGACCUACCUAAACACGUACUUUAAAGCGUUACAACAUCCGAACAUAAAGAAGUAUUUAUCCUUUUUUUUCGAUAAAAAAUGUCCUCAAGUUUUAUAAUUCAAAUUGGUACUCGUGCUUUUUAUGUGUACAUAAGUAACUUGUAACGGCCCCCGGAAAUUUAAAUGAAGAUGUAUGUAUUAAAAAUCUUAAAUGCGGAAGCGUAAUAAAAAUUAUGAU
rnacentral:lncRNA from 1 species